rnacentral:rRNA from 1 species
CGCGGCCUAUCAGCUUGUUGGUGGGGUAAUGGCCUACCAAGGCAUCGACGGGUAGCUGGUCUGAGAGGAUGAUCAGCCACACUGGGACUGAGACACGGCCCAGACUCCUACGGGAGGCAGCAGUGGGGAAUCUUGCACAAUGGGCGAAAGCCUGAUGCAGCAACGCCGCGUGCGGGAAGAAGGCCCUCGGGCUGUAAACCGCUUUCAGAAGGAACGAAACUGACGGUACUUUCAGAAGAAGGUGCGGCCAACUACGUGCCAGCAGCCGCGGUGACACGUAGGCACCAAGCGUUGUCCGGAUUUAUUGGGCGUAAAGAGCUCGUAGGCGGUUCAGUAAGUCGGUUGUGAAAACUUUGGGCUUAACCCAAAGCGCGCGUCCGAUACUGCUGUGACUUGAGUUCGGUAGGGGAGUGGGGAAUCCCUAGUGUAGCGGUGAAAUGCGCAGAUAUUAGGAGGAACACCGGUGGCGAAGGCGCCACUCUGGGCCGAAACUGACGCUGAGGAGCGAAAGCAUGGGUAGCAAACAGGAUUAGAUACCCUGGUAGUCCAUGCCGUAAACGUUGGGCACUAGGUGUGGGUUCCAACCAACGGAAUCCGCGCCGUCGCUAACGCAUUAAGUGCCCCGCCUGGGGAGUACGG